AACGAACGCUGGCGGCAGGCUUAAACACAUGCAAGUCGAACGCCCCGCAAGGGGAGUGGCAGACGGGUGAGUAACGCGUGGGAACGUACCUUUCAGUUCGGAAUAACUCAGGGAAACUUGUGCUAAUACCGGAUACGCCCGCAAGGGGAAAGAUUUAUCGCUGAAAGAUCGGCCCGCGUUGGAUUAGCUAGUUGGUGGGGUAAAGGCCUACCAAGGCGACGAUCCAUAGCUGGCCUGAGAGGAUGAUCAGCCACACUGGGACUGAGACACGGCCCAGACUCCUACGGGAGGCAGCAGUGGGAAUAUUGGACAAUGGGCGCAAGCCUGAUCCAGCCAUGCCGCGUGUGUGAUGAAGGCCUUAGGGUUGUAAAGCACUUUCACCGAUGAAGAUAAUGACGGUAGUCGGAGAAGAAGCCCCGGCUAACUUCGUG
rnacentral:rRNA from 1 species